UGGGGAAUUUUGGACAAUGGGCGAAAGCCUGAUCCAGCAAUGCCGCGUGUGUGAAGAAGGCCUUCGGGUUGUAAAGCACUUUUGUCCGGAAAGAAAUGGCUCUGGUUAAUACCUGGGGUCGAUGACGGUACCGGAAGAAUAAGGACCGGCUAACUACGUGCCAGCAGCCGCGGUAAUACGUAGGGUCCAAGCGUUAAUCGGAAUUACUGGGCGUAAAGCGUGCGCAGGCGGUUGUGCAAGACCGAUGUGAAAUCCCCGAGCUUAACUUGGGAAUUGCAUUGGUGACUGCACGGCUAGAGUGUGUCAGAGGGGGGUAGAAUUCCACGUGUAGCAGUGAAAUGCGUAGAGAUGUGGAGGAAUACCGAUGGCGAAGGCAGCCCCCUGGGAUAACACUGACGCUCAUGCACGAAAGCGUGGGGAGCAAACAGGAUUAGAUACCCUGGUAGUCCACGCCCUAAACGAUGUCAACUAGUUGUUGGGGAUUCAUUUUCCUUAGUAACGUAGCUAACGCGUGAAGUUGACCGCCUGGGGAGUACGGUCGCAAGAUUAAAAGCUUAAAUGAAUUGACGGGGUCAUAGCUGUUUCCUG
rnacentral:rRNA from 1 species